UAAAUUGAAUAGUCGCUGGCAAUAUUCAAAAGAUAUUGCGAGAGGAAAGUCCGGGCUCCACAGAGCAAAAAUGCUAGAUAACGUCUAGUAAGGGUGACCUUAAGGAAAGUGCAACAGAAAAUAACCGCCAUUAUUGGCAAGGGUGAAAAGGUGAGGUAAGAGCUCACCGCUAUUAUGGUGACAUAAUAGGCUGUGUAAACCCCAUUUGGAGCAACACCAAUAAAGAAGAUUAAGUCUGCUCGACGCCUUCUUGACUGUGUGGCUUGAAAUAUAUAGUGAUAUAUAUUCUAGAUAAAUGACUAUUUUAAAAGACAGAACCCGGCUUACAGAUUUACUCUU
rnacentral:RNase_P_RNA from 1 species